GCAUGCAUGGCUCCUUGCAUGCCAUCUGCGGAGACCACCAAGCUUCUGAUGAACUUCACAAAUGGCAUACAGGGAGCCAGGCACAC
rnacentral:pre_miRNA from 9 species